UGUGGUGGCGAUAGCCAGAAGGAUACACCUGUUCCCAUGCCGAACACAGAAGUUAAGCUUCUGCACGCCGAGAGUAGUUGGGGGAUCGCCCCCUGC
rnacentral:rRNA from 1 species